GAUGAACGCUGGCGGCGUGCCUAAUACAUGCAAGUCGAGCGAACAGACGAGGAGCUUGCUCCUCUGACGUUAGCGGCGGACGGGUGAGUAACACGUGGAUAACCUACCUAUAAGACUGGGAUAACUUCGGGAAACCGGAGCUAAUACCGGAUAAUAUAUUGAACCGCAUGGUUCAAUAGUGAAGGACGGCUUUGCUGUCACUUAUAGAUGGAUCCGCGCCGCAUUAGCUAGUUGGUAAGGUAACGGCUUACCAAGGCGACGAUGCGUAGCCGACCUGAGAGGGUGAUCGGCCACACUGGAACUGAGACACGGUCCAGACUCCUACGGGAGGCAGCAGUAGGGAAUCUUCCGCAAUGGGCGAAAGCCUGACGGAGCAACGCCGCGUGAGUGAUGAAGGUCUUCGGAUCGUAAAACUCUGUUAUUAGGGAAGAACAAAUGUGUAAGUAACUAUGCACGUCUUGACGGUACCUAAUCAGAAAGCCACGGCUAACUACGUG
rnacentral:rRNA from 1 species